CCACACUGCCAAGAAAAGCCUCUAGCGAGAUAAAAGGUGCCCGUACCGCAAACCGACACAGGUAGGCGAGGAGAGAAUCCUAAGGUGAGCGAGAGAACUCUCGUUAAGGAACUCGGCAAAAUGACCCCGUAACUUCGGGAGAAGGGGUGCUUUUUGAGGUGAAUAGCCUCGAAGAGCCGCAGUGAAUAGGCCCAGGCGACUGUUUAGCAAAAACACAGGUCUCUGCGAAGCCGCAAGGCGAAGUAUAGGGGCUGACGCCUGCCCGGUGCUGGAAGGUUAAGAGGAGGGGUGCAAG
rnacentral:rRNA from 1 species